rnacentral:rRNA from 1 species
GGGUUGUGAGGUUAAGCGACUAAGCGUACACGGUGGAUGCCCUGGCAGUCAGAGGCGAUGAAGGGCGUGCUAAUCUGCGAUAAGCGCCGGUAAGGUGAUAUGAACCGUUAUAACCGGCGAUACCCGAAUGGGGAAACCCAGUGUGAUUCGUCACACUAUCAUUAACUGAAUCCAUAGGUUAAUGAGGCGAACCGGGGGAACUGAAACAUCUAAGUACCCCGAGGAAAAGAAAUCAACCGAGAUUCCCCCAGUAGCGGCGAGCGAACGGGGAGGAGCCCAGAGCCUGAAUCAGCAUGUGUGUUAGUGGAAGCGUCUGGAAAGGCGCGCGAUACAGGGUGACAGCCCCGUACACAAAAGCGCAUGUGCUGUGAGCUCGAUGAGUAGGGCGGGACACGUGGUAUCCUGUCUGAAUAUGGGGGGACCAUCCUCCAAGGCUAAAUACUCCUGACUGACCGAUAGUGAACCAGUACCGUGAGGGAAAGGCGAAAAGAACCCCGGCGAGGGGAGUGAAAAAGAACCUGAAACCGUGUACGUACAAGCAGUGGGAGCACAGGUUUACCUGUGUGACUGCGUACCUUUUGUAUAAUGGGUCAGCGACUUAUAUUCUGUAGCAAGGUUAACCGUAUAGGGGAGCCGUAGGGAAACCGAGUCUUAACCGGGCGUUAAGUUGCAGGGUAUAGACCCGAAACCCGGUGAUCUAGCCAUGGGCAGGUUGAAGGUUGGGUAACACUAACUGGAGGACCGAACCGACUAAUGUUGAAAAAUUAGCGGAUGACCUGUGGCUGGGGGUGAAAGGCCAAUCAAACCGGGAGAUAGCUGGUUCUCCCCGAAAGCUAUUUAGGUAGCGCCUCGUGAAUUCAUCUCCGGGGGUAGAGCACUGUUUCGGCUAGGGGGCCAUCCCGGCUUACCAACCCGAUGCAAACUGCGAAUACCGGAGAAUGUUAUCACGGGAGACACACGGCGGGUGCUAACGUCCGUCGUGAAGAGGGAAACAACCCAGACCGCCAGCUAAGGUCCCAAAGUCAUGGUUAAGUGGGAAACGAUGUGGGAAGGCCCAGACAGCCAGGAUGUUGGCUUAGAAGCAGCCAUCAUUUAAAGAAAGCGUAAUAGCUCACUGGUCGAGUCGGCCUGCGCGGAAGAUGUAACGGGGCUAAACCAUGCACCGAAGCUGCGGCAGCGACACUGUGUGUUGUUGGGUAGGGGAGCGUUCUGUAAGCCUGUGAAGGUGGCCUGUGAGGGUUGCUGGAGGUAUCAGAAGUGCGAAUGCUGACAUAAGUAACGAUAAAGCGGGUGAAAAGCCCGCUCGCCGGAAGACCAAGGGUUCCUGUCCAACGUUAAUCGGGGCAGGGUGAGUCGACCCCUAAGGCGAGGCCGAAAGGCGUAGUCGAUGGGAAACGGGUUAAUAUUCCCGUACUUGGUGUUACUGCGAAGGGGGGACGGAGAAGGCUAUGUUGGCCGGGCGACGGUUGUCCCGGUUUAAGCGUGUAGGUGUGUGUUCCAGGUAAAUCCGGUUCACUUUAACACUGAGGCGUGACGACGAGGCACUACGGUGCUGAAGCAACAAAUGCCCUGCUUCCAGGAAAAGCCUCUAAGCAUCAGGUAACACGAAAUCGUACCCCAAACCGACACAGGUGGUCAGGUAGAGAAUACCAAGGCGCUUGAGAGAACUCGGGUGAAGGAACUAGGCAAAAUGGUGCCGUAACUUCGGGAGAAGGCACGCUGACACGUAGGUGAAGUGAUUUACUCAUGGAGCUGAAGUCAGUCGAAGAUACCAGCUGGCUGCAACUGUUUAUUAAAAACACAGCACUGUGCAAACACGAAAGUGGACGUAUACGGUGUGACGCCUGCCCGGUGCCGGAAGGUUAAUUGAUGGGGUCAGCGCAAGCGAAGCUCCUGAUCGAAGCCCCGGUAAACGGCGGCCGUAACUAUAACGGUCCUAAGGUAGCGAAAUUCCUUGUCGGGUAAGUUCCGACCUGCACGAAUGGCGUAAUGAUGGCCAGGCUGUCUCCACCCGAGACUCAGUGAAAUUGAACUCGCUGUGAAGAUGCAGUGUACCCGCGGCAAGACGGAAAGACCCCGUGAACCUUUACUAUAGCUUGACACUGAACAUUGAGCCUUGAUGUGUAGGAUAGGUGGGAGGCUUUGAAGCGUGGACGCCAGUCUGCGUGGAGCCAACCUUGAAAUACCACCCUUUAAUGUUUGAUGUUCUAACGUGGACCCGUAAUCCGGGUUGCGGACAGUGUCUGGUGGGUAGUUUGACUGGGGCGGUCUCCUCCUAAAGAGUAACGGAGGAGCACGAAGGUUGGCUAAUCCUGGUCGGACAUCAGGAGGUUAGUGCAAUGGCAUAAGCCAGCUUGACUGCGAGCGUGACGGCGCGAGCAGGUGCGAAAGCAGGUCAUAGUGAUCCGGUGGUUCUGAAUGGAAGGGCCAUCGCUCAACGGAUAAAAGGUACUCCGGGGAUAACAGGCUGAUACCGCCCAAGAGUUCAUAUCGACGGCGGUGUUUGGCACCUCGAUGUCGGCUCAUCACAUCCUGGGGCUGAAGUAGGUCCCAAGGGUAUGGCUGUUCGCCAUUUAAAGUGGUACGCGAGCUGGGUUUAGAACGUCGUGAGACAGUUCGGUCCCUAUCUGCCGUGGGCGCUGGAGAACUGAGGGGGGCUGCUCCUAGUACGAGAGGACCGGAGUGGACGCAUCACUGGUGUUCGGGUUGUCAUGCCAAUGGCACUGCCCGGUAGCUAAAUGCGGAAGAGAUAAGUGCUGAAAGCAUCUAAGCACGAAACUUGCCCCGAGAUGAGUUCUCCCUGAGACUUAGAGUCUCCUGAAGGAACGUUGAAGACGACGACGUUGAUAGGCCGGGUGUGUAAGCGCAGCGAUGCGUUGAGCUAACCGGUACUAAUGAACCGUGAGGCUUAACCUUACAACGCCGAAG